rnacentral:tRNA from 1 species
GCUGUGGCUCAGUGGUGGAGUAUCUGUUUGGCACGCAGAAGAUUCUGGGUUCAGUUCCUGACAUCUCCA